rnacentral:rRNA from 1 species
UACGGAGGGUGCAAGCGUUGUCCGGAUUUAUUGGGUUUAAAGGGUGCGUAGGUGGCCUUAUAAGUCAGUGGUGAAAGCCUACAGCUUAACUGUAGGACUGCCAUUGAUACUGCAAGGCUUGAGUACUGAUGAGGUAGGCGGAAUUGAUAGUGUAGCGGUGAAAUGCAUAGAUAUUAUCAAGAACACCGAUUGCGAAGGCAGCUUACUAAGGAGUUACUGACACUGAGGCACGAAAGCGUGGGGAUCAAACAGG